rnacentral:siRNA from 1 species
AAAGUUGCGAUAAAAAGACACUA